rnacentral:rRNA from 1 species
UGGGGAAUAUUGCACAAUGGGCGCAAGCCUGAUGCAGCGACGCCGCGUGCGGGAUGGAGGCCUUCGGGUUGUAAACCGCUUUUGAUCGGGAGCAAGCCCUUCGGGGUGAGUGUACCCUUCGAAUAAGCACCGGCUAACUACGUGCCAGCAGCCGCGGUAAUACGUAGGGUGCAAGCGUUAUCCGGAAUUAUUGGGCGUAAAGGGCUCGUAGGCGGUUCGUCGCGUCCGGUGUGAAAGCCCAUCGCUUAACGGUGGGUCUGCGCCGGGUACGGGCGGGCUGGAGUGCGGUAGGGGAGACUGGAAUUCCCGGUGUAACGGUGGAAUGUGUAGAUAUCGGGAAGAACACCAAUGGCGAAGGCAGGUCUCUGGGCCGUCACUGACGCUGAGGCUCGAAAGCAUGGGUAGUGAACAGG